rnacentral:lncRNA from 1 species
UAACAUGUCACAGCGUCUUUUUGAUUGUUUGUAUGAUAUAUAUUGUCCCUAAAAGUUGCAGUGUAGCAACCACUGGGCAUUGCUUCUCGGACUAAGUCACUUAUAGACUCAUCGUUUAAAUUGAUCAUUCGUAUACCUUUGUCUAACCCUGAAUAAAUCAAUUGAUUACCUUUCAGUGACAUGCCAUCAAUGUUCGAAUCCAGU